GUGUGAAAGCCAGUCCGAUAGAGGCAGCUUCUCAAGUCUCAGCAGGUCCCUGAAAAUGGGGUCUAGGAAUCUGUGGAAAAUUCUGACAGCUGUCAGGAAGGAGGUUACUAAAUUCAUUGGAGAAUGAGUGUUGUCCUGAAUUUGGGUUGGACAAGAAUGAAAAGAGGAUAUAA